GUAGAGAGUUGGUCAGGACGGUAGUCCGAGCUUGGACUCGAGUACGCGGAAUGCCGCGUGUUGGAUCAUGAGAUCGAGAUACACAGGGUGUGUAGUGACCCAACCCGAGGACUUGACGUGGUUUGGGGUUUUGGUUGCUCCUGUUUGGAGUGUGUGCGAAUUUUCAAGUGAGAAUUUUGUCCGGAAAUGAGGAUUGGGUCUACGAUGCGAGCGAGAGACGCUAUGCAUAGUUACGACAGGUUUAGGCGGUAUGCCGACGUAGUAUUACGACCGUUGGUCCACCUGUGAAAGCCGACGUAAUCGGUUUAGCCGAUAACACUGUCGAGGAG
rnacentral:lncRNA from 1 species